GACGAACGCUGGCGGCGUGCUUAACACAUGCAAGUCGAACGGAAAGGCCCUUCUUUUGUGGGGUGCUCGAGUGGCGAACGUGUGAGUAACACGUGCGUAACCUGCCCUUGACUUUGGGAUAACUUCAGGAACUUGUGGCUAAUACCGGAUAGGAGCUCCUGCUGCAUGGUGGGGGUUGGAAAGUUUCGGCGGUUUUGGAUGGACUCGCGGCUUAUCAGCUUGUUGGUGGGGUAUUGGUUUACCAAGGCUUUGACUGGUAGCCGGGCUGAGAGGGUGACCGGCCAAACUGGGACUGAGAUAAGGCCCAGACUACUACGGGAGGCAGCAGUGGGGAAAAUUGCACGAUGGGCGGAAGGCUGAUGCAGCAACGCCGCGUGGGGGAUAACGGCCUUCGGGUUGUAAACCGAUUUCGCCUGUGAAGAAGAGUGAGUGACGGUAAUGGAUAAAGAAGCAACGGCUAACUACGUG
rnacentral:rRNA from 1 species